UGCAAGGUGCUGCAUGGUUGUCGUCAGCUCGUGCCGUGAGGUGUCGGGUUAAGUCCCAUAACGAGCGCAACCCUUAUCGUUAGUUGCCAUCUGGUAAUGCAGGGGACUCUAGCGAAACUGCCACCGUAAGGUGAGAGGAAGGUGGGGAUGACGUCAAAUCAGCACGGCCCUUAUGUCCAGGGCUACACACGUGCUACAAUGGUACGUACAGAGGGAGGCAAGCUGGCGACAGUGAGCGGAUCUCUUAAAGCGUAUCGUAGUCCGGAUCGCAGUCUGCAACUCGACUGCGUGAAGUCGGAAUCGCUAGUAAUCGCAAAUCAGAAUGUUGCGGUGAAUACGUUCCCGGGCCUU
rnacentral:rRNA from 1 species